CGCCGAUCCUAGCGGAUUGAUCAGCUAGCUGAUGUCUCUCGAGACACAACCACUGAGCUAUACUCACUGAUGGCUAUACUAUAUUCAUGUGUUGUAUAGUAAAGCUCACUGACAGUGGACACUACCCAUGUCGCGGAUAAUGUGCCAACUCGCAUAUUGUUCCCCUGGCCUCGAAAACAAGCUAUACGUGAUGGCGUUCACAACUUCAUUCAUUUUUUCUUAGUAUUAAUUAUUAAAGAAUGGGAUGUUUUACGAGAGUGGUUCGUCUUUUAUCUAAGAUUCAAUCCUUUCCAUUGCUGUGUAAUCCCAUGCUAUUGAAACAAAGUAAAAAGAUUGUGUGGAAAUUU